rnacentral:rRNA from 1 species
GAUGAACGCUGGCGGCGUGCUUAACACAUGCAAGUCGAACGGUGACGACGGGGCUUGCUCUGUCUGAUCAGUGGCGAACGGGUGAGUAACACGUGAGUAACCUGCCCCCGACUCUGGAAUAACCGUGGGAAACGACGGCUAAUACCGGAUAUGAGACGCACGGGCAUCUGUGUGUCUGGAAAGAUUUAUCGGUCAGGGAUGGACUCGCGGCCUAUCAGCUUGUUGGUGGGGUAAUGGCCUACCAAGGCGACGACGGGUAGCCGGCCUGAGAGGGCGACCGGCCACACUGGGACUGAGAUACGGCCCAGACUCCUACGGGUGGCAG